GAUGAACGCUGGCGGCGUGCCUAAUACAUGCAAGUCGAGCGAACGGACGAGAAGCUUGCUUUUCUGAUGUUAGCGGCGGACGGGUGAGUAACACGUGGAUAACCUACCUAUAAGACUGGGAUAACUUCGGGAAACCGGAGCUAAUACCGGAUAAUAUUUUGAACCGCAUGGUUCAAAAGUGAAAGACGGUCUUGCUGUCACUUAUAGAUGGAUCCGCGCUGCAUUAGCUAGUUGGUAAGGUAACGGCUUACCAAGGCAACGAUGCAUAGCCGACCUGAGAGUGUGAUCGGACACAGUGCAAACGAGACACGGUCCAGACACUCAGAAGGAGCAGGAGUAGGUAAACUACGAGAAACAGCGAAAGCCUGCCGGAACAAAGCCGCGUACGUGAUGAAAGUCUACGAAUCGUAAGACUCUGUUAUUAGGGAAGAACAUAGCUGUAAAACAGAGUGCACAUCUUGACGGUGCCGAAUCAAAAAGGGAAGGCUACCAACUUG
rnacentral:rRNA from 1 species